GUUCGAUUAUGGCUCAGUUGAACGCUGGCGGAUCUUACACGCUGGUCGGGCGGCACGGACUUCGGUCUGGUGGCGAGUAGAACGGGUGAGUAAUGUAUCAGACGUGCUGAAGUAGCGAGAGAUAACUACGCGAAAGCGUAGCUAAUACCGCAUACGCCCUUCGAAAGCGGGGACGGGCCUCGCAUAAUGGGAAGCGGCCGAUAUCGGAUUGGCUGGUUGGUGGGGUAACGGCUCACCAAGGCGACGAUCCGUAGCUGGUUUGAGAGGACGACCGAAAGCCACUGGGACUGAGACACGAGCCAGACUCCUACGGGAGAGCAGCGGUAGAAAUUUUGGACAAUGGGGGAAACCCUGAUCCUGCCAUCACGUGUGCGAUGAAGGCCUUCGGGUUGUAAAGCACUUUUGGCAGGAAAGAAACGGCCUGGAUGUACCGUGCAAUGACAAUACCUGCACAGAAUAAGCACCGGCUAACUACGUGCCAGCAGCCGCGGUAAUACGUAGGGUGCAAAGCGUUAAUCGGAAUUACUGGGCGUAAAGCGUGCGCGGGCGGUUCGGAAAGAUGUGAAAUCCCAAGAACAACUUUGGAACUGCAUUUUUAACUACCGAGCUAGAGUGUGUCAGAGGAGGUGGAAUUCCGCGCGUGUAGCAGUGAAAUGCGUAGACAUAAGAACACCGAUGGCGAAGGCAGCCUCCUGGGAUAACGCUGACGCUCAUGCACGAAAGCGUGGGGGCAAACAGGACUGCGAUCACCCUGUUAGUCCACGCCUAAACAGUGUCAACCAGCUGUUGGGGCCUUCGGGCCUUGGUAGCGCAACUAACGCGUGAGAUGACACUUCUGGGGAGUACGGUCGCAAGAUUAAAACUCAAAGGAAUUGACGGGAUACCACUGGCGGUGGAUGAUGUGGAUUAAUUCGGUGCAACGAAAAACCUUACCCUUGACAUGUCUGGAAUCCCGAAGAUUUGGGAGUGCUCGCAAGAGAACCGGAACACAGGUGCUGCAUGGCUGUCGUCAGCUCGUGUCAGUGAGAUGUUGGGUUAAGUCCCACUGGCAAACGCAACCCUUAUCAUUAGUUUUGCUGAAAGGAGCAUCUAAUGAGACUGCCGGUAUUCGACCGGAGGGGAAGGUGGGGAUGACGUCAGAACCUCAUGGCCCUUAUGGGUAGGAGCUUCACGUCAUACAAUGGUCGGGACAGAGGGUCGCUAGCCCGCGAGAAGGAGCCAAUCCCAGAAACCCGAUCGUAGUCGGAUCACAGUCUGCAACUCGACUGCGUGAGAAGUCGGAAUCGCUAGUAAUCGCGGAUCAGCAUGUCGCGGUGAAUACGUUCCCGGGUCUUGUACACACCGCCCGUCACACCAUGGGAGUCACAGGUUUCUGAUAGUAGUUAGCCCUAACAUGGAAGGGCGUUAUUACGGUAGGAUUCAUGACUGGGGUGGUAACAAGACGUAA
rnacentral:rRNA from 1 species